CUUAGAGAAACGGAGGUAGAGCACUGAAUGUCCUAGGGGGUAUUGCACUUACCGAAGACUAUCAAACUCCGAAUGCCGUAUUCUUUUGCUUGGGAGUCAGACUAUGGGUGAUAAGAUUCAUAGUCAAGAGGGCAACAGCCCAGAUCGUCAGCUAAGGUCCCUAAAUGUAAGUUAAGUGGUAAAGGAUGUGGAAUUGCACAGACAACCAGGAUGUUGGCUUAGAAGCAGCCACUCAUUUAAAGAGUGCGUAAUAGCUCACUGGUCGAGUGAUUCUGCGCCGAAAAUUUCCGGGGCUAAAACUUACUACCGAAGCUACGGCAUCAUUAUGAUGGGUAGGGGAGCUUUCUAUGCGGCUUGAAGCAUGACCGUAAGGACAUGUGGACUGCAUAGAAGUGAGAAUGUUGGCAUGAGUAGCGAGAUGUGGGUGAGAAUCCCACAGGCCGUAAACCCAAGGUUUCCAGGGGAAGGUUCGUCCGCCCUGGGUUAGUCAGGACCUAAGCCGAGGCCGAAAGGCGUAGGUGAUGGACAACAGGUUGAUAUUCCUGUACCACCAAUAACCGUUUGAGAAAUGGGAUGACACAGUAGGAUAAGCUAACCGCACUGUUGGUUAUGUGCGGGCAAGUAUUGAGGCAGUUCCGAUAGGCAAAUCCGUCGGAAUAAUGCUGGGGUACGAUGCGGAGCGAAAUUUAGUAGCGAAGUAGCUGAUUUCACACUGUCGAGAAAAGUCUCUAUCGAGGUUAAAGGUGCCUGUACCGCAAACCGACACAGGUGGGUGAGGAGAGUAUCCUAAGGCCAGCGAGAGAACUGUUGUUAAGGAACUCGGCAAAAUGACCCCGUAACUUCGGGAGAAGGGGUGCCUUCGAAAGAAGGCCGCAGAGAAUAGGCCCAAGCGACUGUUUACCAAAAACAUAGGUUUCUGCUAAGUCGCAAGACGAUGUAUAGGAGCUGACGCCUGCCCGGUGCUGGAAGGUUAAGGGGAUCUGUUAGAGCAAUCGAAGCAGUGAACUUAAGCCCCAGUAAACGGCGGCCGUAACUAUAACGGUCCUAAGGUAGCGAAAUUCCUUGUCGGGUAAGUUCCGACCCGCACGAAAGGCGUAACGAUUUGGGCACUGUCUCAACAACAGACUCGGUGAAAUUGUAAUACCGGUGAAGAUGCCGGUUACCUGCGACAGGACGGAAAGACCCCAUGGAGCUUUACUGUAGCUUGACAUUGAGUCUCGGUGCUACAUGUACAGGAUAGGUGGGAGACUAUGAAGCAUGGACGUCAGUCUGUGUGGAGUCAUCCUUGGGAUACCACCCUUGUAGUACUGGGAUUCUAACCAGAGGCCAUGAAUCUGGUCUUGGGACAAUGUCAGGUGGGCAGUUUGACUGGGGCGGUCGCCUCCGAAAAAGUAACGGAGGCGCUCAAAGGUUCUCUCAGUACGGUCGGAAAUCGUACGAAGAGUGUAAAGGCAAAAGAGAGCUUGAUUGCAAGACAUACAGGUCGAGCAAGGACGAAAGUCGGACUUAGUGAUCCGGUGGUUCCGCAUGGAAGGGCCAUCGCUCAAC
rnacentral:rRNA from 1 species